ACCUGGGUGGCUCAAUCGGUUGAGCGUCUGACUUUGGCUCAGGUCAUGAUUUCACGGUGUGUGGGUUCAAGCCCCACAUCGGGUU
rnacentral:tRNA from 1 species